rnacentral:tRNA from 2 species
GGCGAGGUGACCGAGUGGCUCAGGUAGCGGCCUGCAAAGCCGUGCACGCGGGUUCGAAUCCCGUCCUCGCCU